CCUCCCAUUCUUGGCAGGGCUGGGUUUUCCCGUACCCGGCUCUGUAAUGUGCGGAGGGAGAGGAAACUUGACCCAGCGUCAUGUCUUCGGUGCCAGCGGCUUUCCCGUCUGCUGGUUCUAUCCUCAAGCGCUGGGACAAAG